GGGAGAGAGUGGUUUUAGGUGGGAGGGAUAGACUCGAGUGGGGUUUGAAGUAAAGAUGUCAAAUACUUGGAGACACAAGUUGGCCGCUUGAGAGAGCUCAGGCAAGAGAGAGAUUUGGAAGUGACAAUUGAAGACAUACCAGAAGGUAGUUUUGCUAAGUCACAACAAUCAAGAUUGGAAGAAGAGGUUGCUCCGGGAUCCCCUUUCUCAAUAACAGAAGAAAGAGAGUUGCCAGAAGGAAUUUCCACUUCAUCCCUAGAAGUUGUGCCAGAGAACUUGAACGGUUCUGCCAUUCUCCCAACAUUUGAAAACUUCACUAAAAAACGGAAAAGAAAAUAUGAGCUUAGGUACAGAAAGCGUCCGCUUAAUUCAGAAAAUGCAAAGAAAGCACCGGAUUGCCUAAUAAAACUUUUAAACCAGAUGCAACUGUUCAGACUCAAUAAACUAGAGCGCUUUCAAAAUUUGGUUCUUCAAGAGUUGAGCAGUCUUAAGCAGGAUAUUCAGGCCCUGGAACACCUUGAGAAGGAGGUUCUGGAAUUCUGGGGGAAACAGUCUGCUGAUCUGCAGUCUUUCUGUGAUCUGCAAGUGCUGAGGUACUUUGAAAGGUGUUCUUUCUAGAAGAAUCUUGGUUGAAGUAUGAGGUUCAAUUCAACUCAGACUUCAUAAGAAAGCCAAAGCCUGGUUUUAUGAUUGCAGCCCUCAGCCUGAGCUGCCUGAAGACGAAGAGAAAGAGCAAGGUUAUUGUUGGCUCAGGCCUUGUUAGCCAGACUUCUGUGCUCUGUACGCAAUUUCCUCCCCUCCAAACAUCAUCCCUGGGAACUGCUGAGUUCGGAUAGAAUAUAUGUUGGUAGUUUGCAAUUGGGUUAUUAUCCAUUUGUUCAUAAAAAUUAACCUUUUGUAUUAAAAUUUGGUCAGAUAGUAUUAAUAGAAAGUUCAGGAUGUUAAACAACUUGGAGUGGUGUUGCUUUUUUU
rnacentral:lncRNA from 1 species